CUUCGAUGCCUUCGUGGUGGGGGCGGCGCUGGCGGGGGGCUCUGGUUCGUGCACGGCCGGACAGCCCCCCGGGCCCCCCCCGGCCCCAGCGCUGCCCCCCAGCCCGGGAGGGGCCAGCUCUGAGCGCUCGCCCCGAGCGGUUCCUGCGGGCGAAGGGAAUUCCGCAAUUGCGGCGCUGGGAGAUGCCCCCGGCAGCUCCCGCAGCCCCACCGAGCAUCGCUGCCGCCCAGGACAGCCCAGCACCCCGGGCUCCUCGCACGGGAGGGGGGGACAGGAGCAGCGAAUCGGGAAAUUCAUUAAUUAAUCAUUAAUUAAUCAAAAGU